GGUUGAUGUAAGAGAGUUAGACUGUAUUUCAUCCUGGCAUUAUGGCCAAUUCGGCAGCAGAGUGGAACAAGCUGGGUAUACAGAAGAUUAAGGGCCUGGCAUGGGAGCUGGAUACUGGCGGUGAGUGGCGGAUGCGUCACAAUAAUUUAGAGCAAUGAAGAAGGUCUGAAUCCAAUUUGACGUGCUGCGGCUAAUGAUUGGUGGGGCAAGUCACGAUUCAUGAGCCGUGCAACGUUUUCCUAAAACUUCAAAGGAGAUUUGCAGACAGGAGGCUUGAAUUCCAUGACUUCAUGAUGUAUUGAUGUAACGUGUCCGCUCAGGGCUUUGUUUACUUCGUAUAAAUGGAGGAUAACCAGCAGCUGUUACCAAAGGUGCUUCCCAAAAAACCUCAGCCAUCCACACAGCUGGCUGAGCCUUCUAGGAGUUGUAAUGCACAAGUUACAGUGACAAACGUUUUCUAUAUUAGCAUAAAGACCUGCAUACAGAUUGCUGCUCCAAAGGGCAUAAAAUGAUCAAAAUAUUGGGGGUACACUAUGCCCACUAGAAAUAUUGAGGGUAUACUGUACCCAUGUAAAAUGUUGGGGGUACACUGUGUCCAUAUAAAAUGAUCUGGUACACCAUGUCCAUAUAAAAUGUUGGGGUACACGGUGUCCAUUUGAAAUGUUGGGGGUACAUGGUGUCCAUAUAAAAUGCUGGGGUACACUGUGAUUAUAUAAAAUGUUGGGGUAUACUGUGACCAUAUAAAGUUCUCUCGUACACUAUGUCCAUAUAGAAUGUUGGGGGUACACGGUGUCCAUUUGAAAUGUUGGUGGUACACUGUGUCCAUAUAAAAUUUUGCGGUACACUGAGUCCAUAUAAAAUGCUGGGGGUACACUGUGUCCAUUUAAACUGUUGGGGGAGCACUGUGUCCAUAUAAAAAUGUUGGGGUACACUGUGUCCAUUUGAAAUGUUGGGGUACAUUGCGUCCAUAUAAAAUGUUGUGGAUACACUGUGUCCAUUUGAAAUGUUGGGGUACACUGUGUCCAAUGUUGGGGGUUGCUAAAUGUCCUGCAAACAGUAUCAUUUAAAAACCACCUGCAGUAAGCUCUGACCCAGCCCCUCCUCCUCCUGUCUGAUCUCUGCCGUUCUUCCUUGUCCAGCGCUGUGGUCAGCUGUCUGAUUCCUGAACCCCUGGGAGGCUGAAAGCUCAAAUCACGGCUGAGACACAGUCACUCGCCAGACAGCAGAAAUCUCAUUCCUGGCAGCGAUACGCCUCCAGCACCAGCUGUGUGCAGGGCCAGGGCUGACAGGGUGGGCACAGUGACUGCACUUGGCACAUGCCCCGUUGAAGCAUGCAAACAAACAUUCUCCGCACAGUCUCAAGUCCGCUUUUUGCCAAGUGGUUGAAUUUCAGAUAUCAAAGCGGAUCAGAUGAACUAUACAGCGAUCUGUGUAAACGCAGUGAUACCUUAGUAAGCGCUGCAUGCAGAGAAUGGAGAGUAGAGAAUGCAGUUGCAGCUAUUGCACAAAGAUAGAAUGCAAGACCUGCCACCCAUGUGCAUGCUAUGGCUUUAUCUAUAAGCUCUGAAUAUUGUGUCAUAUUUAUUCUGGAAAAUCUGCAUUAAAAGCCAUUAAUGGACAAAACUCUGAGCACAGUCUGAUCCCCAUGGGCCAACUGGGGAAUCCUUGACAGACACCAUACACUUUGAGAUCAGUCUGCGAAGCAUUUAGUGUUUGGACGCAGGCGAGAAAGUCUGAGAAUUCCCUGGAGCUGUCGAGCUGCGAUGGCACUUCACAUUCUGGGAGUGCCAACAUUCAGAUCCGAGCCGGGAGUUCAGCAUGCAUUGGCAGCUGAGCCUAUUCUCUCUCACCGGAGUGGCAGUCACUCAGUAUCCUACUGAAUGUAUGCUGAAUAUGAUUUAUAGCGGGAAGGCUGAGCUGGGUCACGUAACGAGCCUUAGGCCCCAAUUUAAUAUUGUUGUGUAAGCUUUCUAAACGAUUCAAAGGAACAAUUUACUGUUAGAAAUACAACAUUCUAUUCCUUACUCUAAAGUGUCCCUCUGCCCACGAUCCAUGAAAAAGUUAAAAAAACAUUUCAAUCAUUCACCUGUUUCCAGCGCCAAUGGCCCUUAGCACAGGGUCACGAUCCACCUACAACAACAUCAGCCGAUGGGGGCACCUAAUAUACAUGCUUUCUUUGGGGUUUUGCUUGACGCUGGAUAUCCUCAUGAAAAUAGAUUUAAAGUAAUUUUUACUUACCUGGUGAUGCUCCCAGCGCGACUUUUCAUGCUCCCGCAUGACCUCGCAACAGCCGCACAAUGUUUAAUCUCUACGAGAAGCCUUCGAUUAGACAGGCUAAGAGCGCAUGCGCACAAUACUAGGCUCAAUACUUUCGUGCUGUGUGCGCUAAAGAUGGAUGCAGUUUAUGCACAAAAUUGGCAAUUGGCAGUCCGGGGCUGAGUUCUGGGGGUGCAACUAGCCCCUGGCACACAAUUGCCAAUAUCUCAGUGUGUGCAGCGUUUUAAGCUAAAACACUGCACAUAUGUUCUCCUACGACCAUGGCCACUUUAAAUCACAGAAGUGGUCAUGGUGGCUAAAGUAAGCCUUUAACUGCUGUCUGUAAAUUAUUAAGGGAACCCAGCCGCUCACACUGGAGGGGGGCAGUAAAACCAAAAGCACAAUAUCUUUUACACUUGGGAUAAGGACAUUACAACUUAUAUUUUGAUGUAUAGUGCUAUAUAGUGUAAGUCAAUUUUGAAUAAAGGAUUCCCUUCAAUCAACAGGCAGUGGAUUUUUGAGUAUAGUAUAUAAAACUGCAUUUUUUCCUCGUUACUGACAUUGAAAAAUAAAAUCGCCACACUCCUAAAUAAAUUCAUUUUAUUCUUCAAUGUUUUAUAAAGCCAGAGAGUGCGAUUCCGAGCCUUUGAAGUGCAGCCUAGUUACUGUGGUUUAUUAAUCUUUGUUGUCGUUACCUGGCUCUCCUGAUUUAAUGCUCCUGUGGCAUUCAACCACUAUAAAUAAAAUCACUGGCGAUGUUAGCAUUGCACUGUUUAGCCCAGAAUAAAAAUAUACAAAUGAAAAAUGCCGCUUUGAUGGAGAUCCCUUAUGGGAAGGAUUAAUAGAUGUGAAAAUAAAUAAUGUGUAGUUACUAUUCCUGCAGAACACAGAGCGGGGACGCACACUCCUGCGAGCUGGGAAGGAACAUUUUUUAGAGAGCAGGUAAUGUGACUGCGGUGUUUGCAUCUGUCUCGUUACGGGCUGCACCGGGUCCCAUAGAGACACGUUCAAUCAAACCCAUUACCGAGAGCCAAUACUGAAUUACAGAGCGGCUUAACCCCUCCGCUUCAGGACACAGCUGCACAAGUCAGACAUGGCUUGAGCCCCGUACACCAAGAAAAGAGUUAACCCAAGCCAGUAAAGUGUGCCUGCUGGGUUUUUAUUAGCGUUGUACUAAGGAGGUGCUUUUCCAAAUUAAAAGGUACUCAAGGCUCCGAAUCCAAGGAAAAUAUUGAAAAUCCUUUGAAAACCUCUUAAAAGCAAUUUGGAGGCCAAGUUUUUCACAAGCCCCCAAAAAAUCUAGCUUUUACCCACUUGUAAAAAAAAGAAUAAAAAAUGAAUUGCGGGCAGCGUUAACCAGCUCGACCGCAGUAAAUCUUUCAUUACCUGAUAAGCUGACACUGACCCUGCACAAGGAGAUAUGCAGCAGAAACAGCUGUAACUGUCUCACUGGACACCUGGAGAGCCGGCCCCGGGGUUUGAGAUUUGGACAAGUGAUUUGAGCUUGUCCCGUCCAUGGAUCUACAUUGUGGUGAUAUGAGAGCUGUGAGAAGUGUAACAUUCUCAGCACAAACAGGGUUAUUUACUAAAGAGAGAAUUUCAAGUGAUUUUGAAACUUACUGCAGACAAGCUGAACUCAAAGCCAUUUUAUUUUUACAUUAUGCUUUUCUCUUAUCAGUCCUCCAUAAUACACUAUUUGGUGGGUAAACCCCAAAAUUCUCUGCAUACAUGAGGCAUAGCAUAGCUGACCUGUGGAGAGUAUAAUAAGUCUCAGCGCAUACCUCUCAACGGUCACGGAUGUGGCAGAGUAGUCCCAAUAUAAAGCGUAGAAAACACGCUUCAACAAUGCUUGCACCCCAGCAGCUCUGGUUGGCUUUUGUGUAGGGCUACUCUUAAUUCGAUGCAUUCACUGGGUAGGAUGUCUGUCUCAAAUAAUUCCAGACUGUCCCAGGACACUCCACUAUCCCAAUAAAAAUAAUAAAAAAAUAUUAUGUAGUAUAUAUAUCCCCAAGUAAAACAUUUGUAUUUAAUUAUGCAUGUUACCGUUGGGGGUAUAUCUAAAAACAGCUUGUAAAACCUGUAGAUUUCUUGUCUGCAGCCUUUGCAAGCCCUCCCCUUCUAACCCUGCCCAGACUUUCUGUGGCUGUCCAAUCACAGACUUCCCAAUGCAGCUCAGUGAGAAGUCUUUGCAAAACAGGUGCUCUGAGCAAUUGAUGCCUCUUGGGUUUAGUUCCACUGAGCUAACCAAACCAGGAAGUAACAGGAUCGGCUGUCUGAUUGCCAGCUGGGGGGAGUAACAAUAUAAAUUUAUAAAAGUGACCAUUUUUAUUGAAAUCUGCACUUUUUGUUAAAUAAAAAAAUGGACACGCUCUGCACACAAAGUGCUCUAGGGGCCUGGGGUGCCCCUUUUAUAAACUUCUAUAAUUUGCCAACUUGUCAAAAUUUGCUGAACAGCUGAGAAAAAAGUGCAAAUAGCAAACAGAGAAAUAAUUAAACCAACAAUAACAUCAAUACAAAAUGAAAGCUAUUGGUUCUAAUAGGUCUGAAUAUUUCUGCCAGGGGAAUGUGAGUGAGAUUGGGGGUACAGUUCCAGCCUCUCUCUGGAGCGCGAUACCAGUUAUAACAUAUAUAAUGUGAAAAUGUACAGAGAUACAAAGUAAACAGUCAGUCAGUAAAUGAUCUGAUCCUGGGUGGAACAAAUCUAAACACUGCUGUAUGACUUUUUAUAAAUCGAGCACACAGUUUUAUUUUUUGAUAUUUUUUUUCAGAUCCACGUUAGUAUACUGUCAGUUAGCGGGACCUGAUGGAGGUCAGGGGGGCGAUUUCAUGGCACUGCAUAGCAGACUCUGACAGGCCAUUUUGGUCUCAACGUGCCAUGUCCUGCAUGCCUUCAGGUGAGUCUAAUCACUGAGAUCGAGUACCCCCCCCAAGGCUGCUGUCAGCGCAGCGUCGGACGCAUUAUAAACUUAGUUCACAAGCAAGGCUUUCUCUGACCCCCUUUCAAGGCUAAAUUUGAAUUAUUUUGUAUAAUUAUUAUUUUUUUCCAGUUAAUUCUUUAAGUUGGAGUUUUCAACGUUAACCUAAAACCUUUAGUUGUAUGUACUACCAACACUCCCAGGCAUCCCCACUUCUCUGAACAUGUGCUGCUCUGAUUGGUGCAUGGCAAAGCUGGUGCCAUUAAAAUAUACAUCCCCUGCGUUUUGACUGCGCCUCCCGGCAAUGCAUCGGUUGUUAUACAUAAAUGAUGGUCUAUUUGCACAUUAAUGAUAAUUAUGAAAAUAUCUUCAUGGGUUUUACACACUAGGGAAAAAAAGCCAAAGGUGAACAUUUUAUGUUGUUGGUGCACUGGUUCCUAUUUCUCUUUAUAGAGAUAUUUAUUAAAAAACAAAAAAACAACAGUAUAACCCAUAGCAUCACUGCCAGCAAUUACUGGGGUUAUCGCUUUUACCUACUAGGGCAGGCUGAGCAUCAUGGGAAGUGUAGUUCAGAAAGAAAAAUGUUGUGCAAAGAUAACGCAUCACUGUCGGUGCUUGGGCAAGCAGAGGGCUUGGGGGCAGCAGACCGGAGAGGUCCAGCUAGCUCAUUCUCCUGCUGUGUGGCUGAGGUUGACAGGGGAGAUUUCCCUGGCCAGCCACCACAGGGCUGGUGCUUGAAUAGAGGGAGGUUCUCCAAAGCCUGUAGUAUAUCUGGGCGUUACCAUGGCAACGAUCUGAUAGAUUCCCUGGCUCCAGCCAGAAGGAGCAUCUCCCACCGGACCACCAUGGAUCAGGAUGUGUUAAGGUAAGCACCAGGGAGGGGGAAAUAAACUUUUAUACUGCCCCUGCCAUCCCACCACAGCCACCGUCACCCCACCACAGCUCCUGUCAUCCCACCUCAACCACUAUCACCCCACCACAGCCCUUGUCAGCCCACCACAGACCCUGCCAUCCCACCUCAACCACCGUCAUUCCACCACAGCCCCUGUCACCCCACCACAGCCCCUGCCAUCCCACCACAGCUCCUGUCACCCCACCACAGCCACCGUCAUUCCACCACAGCCCCUGUCACCCCACCUCAACCACUAUCACCCCACUACAGCCCCUGUUACCCCACCACAGCCCCUGUUACCCUACCACAGCCCAAGUCACCCAACCUCAACCACUAUCACCCCACCACAGCCCCUGUCAUCCCACCACAGCCCUUCACCCCACCUCAACCACUAUCACCCCACCACAACCCCUGUCACCCCACCACAACCCCUUUUACCCCACUACAGCCCGUCACCCCACCACAGCCCCUGUCAUCCCAACACAGCCCAUGUCAUCCCAACACAGCCCCUGUCACCCCACUACUGCCCGUUACCCCACUACAGCCCCUGUCAGCCCAACACAGCCCCUGUCACCCCACUACAGCCUGUUACCCGUCUACAGCCCGUUACCCCCACUACAGCCCGUUACCCCACUACAGCCCCUGUCAUCCCAACACAGCCCCUGUCACCCCACUACAGCCCGUUACCCCACUACAGUCCCUGUCAUCCCAACACAGCCACUGUCAUCCCAUCUAAAUCACUGUCAUCCCAACACAGCCCCUGUCAUCCCAACACAGCCCCUGUCAUCCCAACACAGCCCCUGUCAUCCCAACACAGCCACUGUCAUCCCAACACAGCCACUGUCACCACACAACAGCCAUCCCAUCUCAAUCACUGUCAUCCCAUCUCAAUCACUGUCACUCCAACACAAUCCCGGUCACCCCACCACAGCCAGUGUCACCCCAUUAUAGCCACUACCCCCACCCACUAAAUCUCCAAUUCCGCCACUACAGUCCAGAAUGCAACACAACAAGCAGCCACCCAUGAACAUGCAACACCACACCAACGAGCCGCAUUCCCACAAAAACUCAGCCUCAAUCCAACCAUCCACGCAUGCAUAUACACACACACUCACACACACAUUGGGGUAUAUUGAGAAUACCUGCCUUGGGGCAGCAAGGACAGUCAAUCCAGCCCUGAUCACUUCGUUACUAUUUGUAAUGAAAGCACAGAGCACGGGGCAGCAGUUCUGUAUCGUAAUCUGGUUUGUUCCUUUCCUGCCGCAGAGAGAGAAAUAUUCAGGCUCUGUGUCCGCACAGACAUGCCAGGAUUACACUAGGGGCUUCCCCUCUGUUCUUUCUCUAUUUCUCUUGGCUAAAAAGUGCUGUUUUGAAUGCACAACAUGAGCCGGCGUUCCCAUGCCACAUUCCGCAGCGGGAACACGCACUUCCCCCAUUAAUAAACAGACCCUGAGAGGGAUGCAUUGUGGGAAACUAACCUCAUGCCACAAGCCGCAGAUGGCACAAGAGCUUGUAAUCUCUCAUUGCUCAUCAUCAAAUAAACAGGUUGUAUAAUUUUUUAUACAUGUGGCUCAUGACUAAACACACAGGUGCACAAAACCCAUAACGUGGGAUUUCCUGAUGUACAGCCAUAUAAUGUGUGAACUUGGUGGGGCUGGCGUACACGUGGCAGCAUGUGGCUACUUCACAUCCACGUCCAGGGCGCAGUGAUUGCCCCAUGAUGUUCUGGGUGCACUCCUGUGGCCUCAGGCAUUUGCCGAGAAAUGGCACUCAUGCACACACACGCUCAGGAAUGUAAUGUCUUGUAAAGUGUUCUAUGCACGCAUACGCUCUCAUGGCAUCAAUGUGCAUGGCCCUGAGCGGGUUAAAUUCAUCUGUAUUGUAUGCACUGCUGUAGGAGACCUUUUAGAUUUAUUUUGAUGAAUUGCAUUUUUGUAUAAUUAUCAAUUUCUUCAAAAUGUCCCUCUCUGCUUAAUGCAUGGUGGGAUCUCUUCCAUUGCAUACUAACAAGUCGCCUCUCAUCAGGGCUCAAAAUUCCACUAGUCCAUCAGCCCUGGCGAGUAGAAAUUCCAUCCAGGCUUGCAGUGGAUAGUAGCUUCUCGUGCUGGCUACUCGUGUCAGACCUUCAAUUUUAGCACAGAUCAGACUCUCAGAAUGUUAAAUAAAGACAUUUAGCCUUCCACGUUUAAUAAACUAAGUGCCAUUAAGUUUGUAGCCCAUGGAUCAGCACAGCCUGACAGAGCCAGGAGGUAGGCAUAACAGCCAUAGGAAAACAGCAAGCAACCUGGGUGGGGCGGAGCUACGAUGGGAGUAUUUAUACCGGCCAUUUUGGGAAGUCGCCAUCUUAACUAAACCUAAACUCACUGGUUAGUUGUCUCUCAAGUUUGGGUAGGUUUUUUCUUUCUUUUUCAGAUGGAUUCUGUUGAAGAAUUCCUUGCGGGUGUUUGUGUGGCAGUGAGGUAGCGCGGCAUCAUUUGGCUGCAGCAGUGGAUGGCAUCCCUUGGGCCGUUUAGUGCGCCCACGGUGGUUCCUGAGCAAUGGCCUGUGCCAGAGGACGAGGCCUCCCCAACGUUUGAGCCCUGGUUCAGUGACAGCACAGGAGCCCAUCUCCAGGAGCUGCUCCCGUGGCAGACGGUUCCGGAGGAGGCCAUGUGGUCGCAAUGGCGGUGAGAGAGCUGGGCCUGCGGUGUCAGCCGCGGAGGCCCCUGGAAGGCAGUCUAUGUCAGGCGGCGUUGCUGGAACGGAUCGGGACGGGAGGCAGCACGUCUGCGUCUCCUGGGUCAGGCUGCACCCAGUCGGCUAGCGGCUGGCAGGAAAGGUCUGGUGCUGAGGACGGCGGGCUCCGGUGUGGCUUGGAGUAAUCGCCUGGUCUGCGAUCAACACUGGAGAUGCCCUGCCGCUCUUGGCGAGUUGGGUCCCACGGGCCUUGUAUCCUCGGGGAGUGUGGGGCAGGACAUAGGGGCUCAGUGGGGAAUAGGCUGUGGAGGGUCCCGGCUGCAGGAAAAAGUCUGGUACUGCCCUGGCUGGGGCCGGGUCAGCUGCGGUGGAGGCCAAUGUCACAAGUGGGCCUUAGUCAGCGCAGUGGCUGGUUCAGGCAGCCAGGCAGGGAUAGGACAUAGCAGUACUAUGCUAGGGAGGUGCCAGGCAGGCCUAACAGGCAAGAUAGGAACCUUGAUAGAGGGAAUGCGGCCUAAACAGGGGCCUGGGGGGUGCAGCGCGUCCCGCGCAGGGUCAGGUGGGAGAGAGUGCGUACGGCUACAUGGAGCCAGGCAGUUGGAUAGGCCGGAUUGGAGGAGUCAUGCUGUCCAGGAGUGCAGGGAGCGCCGCUCUAGGAUGAGGGAUAGCGGGUCACCAGGUGUCCCAGGCCAGGCUACUUUUCAGUUCCAAGGAUAGGACCAGGCACAGUGAGGAUAGACGUCCACGGCGGGUCGGCGCAGCAGAGACAGGAACCCUUCUGUAAGGCAUUACAGCUGGGGGCGUUCACCUUCUUCCGAGGAUAGGGCAAGGAGUAGGUCUUACAGGUCGCCUAACAGGAGUUAUAAGAAGGAUAGGCUUACCCCUUAUGGCCAAUCUGGCCAGACGGCCAGACGUUGUGAGGACAGGGAAUGGGGUCGGGAACGUGGGAAGGAUGUACGGGUUGGGGCUCCUAGGAGCAGACUACUCAGGUUGUCUUCUUCCCAGAGGUCAGCAACUCCUUCUCCUAUGGUUCUGAGGCAGGACCCGGCAGCUGGAUGCAGAAGCUAUGACGCUACUCCUGAACCUCUCGAGGUGGAUGGCAGGACAGUGGCCCUGCGGUCUUCUACUGCAGGAGGUUCUGGCGAUGAGUCUUCUUCUGCACUACACUUCGGGAAUCUCUUGGAUAGCUUGAUGUCCUUUCUUAACACUUGGGCUGUUGGGGAUACACAGGGGGAGCAUUUUAGUCGGGUGUGGGGUCUACCGACAGGCGGGAGUGGGGUGGCAACAGCAAUUCCGGUGGCUGCGGCGGGCAGUGUUCAGGGCAGGACUACGGUGACUUCACUCGGUUUAGGGACAUUGUCCGAAGUCAACGAACGAGCAGAGUUAAUAGGUGAGAUCCCUGCGGUAGCCAGGCAGAAUGUCCACGUGUCAUUGGCUGGGCCUUUGGGUUGUCAUCUAAAAAUUGGAAGUGAAGGAAAAGAUUUGGUGGGGCGAAUUCCUCGAGAUCUUCUCGCUCCUUCUUUUGGAUGAAUAUCUUGAUCUGAAGAAGGAAGAUAAGAAGCAUGCCAAGAAAGAGGAGGCGGAAAAGAGACGGAGGUAUUGGAAGAUACCCAAGACUUUUGGGAAUUGGCUUCGGGCAUUCUGCAUUUUGGCUAGUGUUUUGGGGGAGAAAUUUCCAGAGCAGUAUUUGCAGUUUUUCUGCUAUUUGGAUGGGAUCUGGGAGGCUUUUCACACUUAUAGGGGCUUAGCAUGGUGGAAGUACGAUGAGCAGUUCCCUCAAAGGUUGUCAGCUAAUCCCAGGAUGCGGUGGGACCAGAUGGACCUACCUCUAUGGAAGAAACUGAUGAUGGCUCAGAAAGCUGCGCCCUUUCAGGGUGGGGCUGGUGUGGGAUCAACCUCCUCUUCAUCGGCCAGUCAAAAGAAAGGGUUCUGUUGGACGUUUAAUGAAGGACAAUGCAAGUGGGGUGCCUCGUGUAAGUUUAAGCACGAAUUUUCAGGCAGCGGGGGGGCCCUCAGCCUCAACAGGUGCUUCAAGUGGGCAAAGUCUGCAUCUACCGGCGGAGCAGUGGCACCAUCCACUUCCACUGGGGGUAACCCCGGUGAAGGUUGCGCCGAUGUUGCCUUGGCUAAGCCGUUACGGUACCCAGGGUGACUCACAGGAAUAUGGCGGCAUUGGCAUUUCUGUUCAAGCUGAAUGGUUGGGAGGAUGUUUCAAAACAUUUCCUUAUUUGUCAAGCCUUACGGGGCUUUAGGAGAGGUAAGAAAUCGGUGGAUAUUAGAAGACCAGUAUCUUUUGAAGUCCUGCAGCGCUUAGUGGGUGUGCUGCCGGCGGUGUGUUCAUCUCCUUUCGAGGUGGGGUUAUUCUCGGUUUCCUUCUAGUGGGCGUUCUUCGGGGCCUUUUGGAUUGGUGAACUGGUGAGUACUUCUCGGGCAGGUGUUGUGGGGUUCAACACUCGGACAUCGAAUUACGGUGGUGAUUCGGUUUGGCCGUAAAAAGAUGGAUGUAUUUGGUAAAGGUUGUUUGGUAAUACUAUUUUCCCUACCUGGGUCAGGUGUCUACCCUUUUUCAUGUGCAUUGCACUAUGUGGAGUUUCGCCCGGACGUCCUGGGUUGAUUUUUCGUACAUGGGGAUGGUUCCGCUUUGUCACGGUUCUAAUUCUUUGGGGUUUUUCGGUUGGGUUUGACAGAGCUGGGUUUGGUUUCCAUGCAGUUUGUGACCCAUUCCUUCCAGAUAGGGGCAGCGAUGGAGGCGCCCUGCUUGGGUUUAGGUGAGGAACUGGUGAAACGUAUAGGUAGGUGGGAGUCGGUACAUUUUAAGUCCUCCUUAUGUCCCGAACACUUGGUCUAAUGGGCGUGGAUUGGUGGGGUGGUCUUUGGUGUUAUGACUUGUCACUGAUUCUGUUUUCAUUUUAGGUUGGGUGGCCUGGUUGGUGGGCCACUCUUACAUCUACUGGGCACAGAAGAGAACCGCAGUUCGGAAACCAGGAGUGCAGCUGUGCUUUCCUCUGGAGUUGGUGACACUAGAGUGGUUUGGUUUUUGGGGUUUUGGUUGGCAGGUAUUAGUCGGUAAAUUCUGAGGGGGUGGCAAGGGGCACCGUUCCGGAUGUACUGUUAAUCCAUGCUGGAGGUAAUGAUCUGCGCAUGGUUCCAAAAAAGGAAUUGCUCAGAUGGAUAAAGAGGGAUGUGGACUGGUUAUGAGAGCUGGCUCCAGAUGUGUUGGUGGUGUGGUCCGAGAUGGUUCCUCGGUUUCACUGUCGAUAUGCCAAGGUCCCGGCCACGAUGGCUCGGUGUCUGGGACAAAUCAAUAAAAUUAUGGCGGUCUUUAUUAGGCGGUUAGGUGGAGUGGCAGUGAGGCACUGGGAAAUGGAAGGCAUGCUUCCUGGGUACUUCAGGAGGGAUAGUGUAUAUCUGUCGGAUGUGGGGUGUGACCUAUUUAUUUUGGGCCUUCAACAGGCCCUGUUUAGGUGUGGUGGGGGGUGCUCAGAUGCUUUAGGUGUCAAGUCCUGAGCUGUGACAGGGAAUGGCCAGGAUAAAUCGAGGGGUAGAUGGAGGAGGAAGUGGGCAUCCAGAGGUUUAUUGUUGAUUAGGCAGUGUCACACUUGGUUGGUAGGUUUGAGCCAGUCGGUGGCUCCGAACAUGGGGUGUAGCGGUGUCUUGCUACACCCAUACAAUUGAACUUGUGGGUGUAGCAGUGUCUUGGUACACCCCUACAAUUUAAUCUGGUGGAAAUGUGGUCCUAUUGGAUGGCCAGUUUCUGUGUUAAUAUGUUAGAUUGUUAUUUAUUGUUAUUAUUGUGGCGUCAUUGCCAGGGGUAUGUUAUGUAUGUUAAUAAUAUUUGUUCGCAAUGACCCUAUUUGUUAUUCCUUAAUUAAUUAAUAAUUAAUAAAGCUGUGGACUAAUAUUUCCAACAGUAUAACCUGUGUCCGUGUCUUAAUGGGUUCAGGGUAAGGUUAGCGAAUAUGCCGGUAAAUCCGACUGUGCCCCUAUCAGCAUGAUUAUAACAUCAAGACCCUCUGAUUGACGUGCAAACUAGUGAAAAGCCAAGUGUACUUUUCCUAGGUUAAAUGUUUGAUAUAAUUAUUAUUGGAAGCAUAAACCCAGUUUAGGAUUUAAAUCCCCCUUUCCUUCUUAUCCAGAUGUUUUUCCCCAGGUAACCUGUUACACAGCUGUCCUGUAUUCUGCUUUAAACGUGAGGACAUUUUUAAUUCAAUUUCAUGUUUUUGACAGCUAAAUCCUCGCUUUCAGCAAAAAAAAAAAAAAAAGGAAACAAAAGCGUGUAUCUUUCCUCGUUCUGCUAGAUAAAACUAACAAGUCUUUAUCAAACUGCUUCGUGAUAAAAUAGCCGGAAUUAAAUCCACUCUGCGAAUUAAUUAAGGGAUGUGGAGGGGGAAUCGGUUAAUAAAAGAUUUAAUACACUCUGCCAAAAAAAUCACUAAACAAAGUCUGGAAAUUGUCACCUGUGGCACGUGAUCAACUUAAAAUGGUGCGUUUCAGGCUUAAAAAAAUAUUAUGUUUUAUGCAAUAACGCAAUACACAUUUAUUCCAGACUUUUACAUUACCAAUGUUCAAAGAUAUGUUUUCCAUGAUAUUUUCCCGUUCGUUUUAAAGCACAAAGCAAGAUUUCUACAAGUCAUAGAAAGAGAUAAAUCUAUCAGAAUAACCAGGCAUGUGGUGAAAAAUGUAUUACGACCUCUGCGGCAAAUGUUUCUGCAUUUUGAAGCAAAAAAAAAUACAUUCCUCUAGGGAAAAAGUACAUUUAGCCCAGAUCCAACACUUACGCAGAGUUUCCAAAUCUGUCAUGUUCGCUCUGGCCUCCCCUGCUGAUAUACACUACGCAGCAAUAAUAAAUAAUAUAUAUUUACCUUGCUGCUGGUAGUUUGGGGAGUAUAUGUGGGUAGGGAAGCUGGAUACUUCGUGAUUAGCUAAUAAAGGCAAAGAUGUGCAUCACCUGCAAUUCUCAAACUGAUCUUUGGAAAAUCCUCCUUGGAUGCAAAAUCUCGAGAAAUCAUAUACCAAAACUAUCCCAGAGUUCCCAGCGUGAUAUGCAAAUGAUCACAGACAGGCAUUAUGUUUCAGACUACAUACUGCUUUCCAGCAAUGGACGUGGUAACGCCAGGCUCAAACUCAUUUUUUAGACUAAUUAAAUAAAUAUCCCUUUUACGUAGACAUGUGCAGCUCCCAGCGGACACAGCACGAGGAGCUGUAAAAACAUGAGAUCUGAACAUUUAGACCGGGGUUCACUAGCCUGGCUGUGAAAUGCGGCAAAUUAUAUUUAUUCUGAUGGCAAUACAGGGCUAAUGCCUCCACCCAUAACUGCCUCCGCAGAGGAUCGCAGCCAGAUUCUGGAUAAUUUUACAAAAUACACAUUGCACCAACGCACACUGAUCCGUAAUGUACACAUUUUAAUUGGUUCCCUCCUUAUAAAAUAUUUAACUUGUAUGUUUAGCUGUCGGACUAUAAUCUCCCAACGUUUUAAUAUUCACGGAGCCGGCAGCGAGAGACUGCAGAGCCAGCAGUCUCUCACAAUGGCCCAAAUGCUGACACUUUAGAAGAGUUAAUGUACUCUAUGGUCAUUCACGCGUCUCACCAUCUUACACAAGGUUUUAAUAAGCUGUGAUUAUUAUAUUUGUUACUACAGAUCAUAAACAAACAGCAAUAUUUACACUUGGUAACUGUGUAAAUCAAUGGAACAUUGAGAUCUUUCAAUGUGUAUUUAUAGCCCAUCACACUGAUACAUCUUAAUACUUACAGCAGCGUAACUGUGAUCGUCAUGGAAACCCUUCCUUGGGAUGUAGGGAUAAUAUUAAUAGAGUUACAUUGUAUGCAAGCUGAGAUUUAGGCUGUAUCAAAUGUGAUAAAUAGCCCGAUUUCCAAAUACCGUUAUAUUACUGGUGAUUAUGAAGGAAUCAGCACCAGACUGAUGGUUUCUGUGAAUCUGCCCAUUCAUCCUAGAAUCUACCCAUUAACCAUAAGAUUUUGUCCAUUCACCUAGAGAAUCUGCCCAUUCAAUUUGAGACUCUGAAAAUCUGCUGAUACACCUCCUGAGUCUGUCCAUUCUACCCGAGAAUCUGCCUAUUUACCCUGAGAAUCUGCCCAUCUAUCCCAAGAAUCUAACCAUUCACACAGAGAAUCUGCCCAUCUACCCUGAGAAUCUAACCAUUCACACAGAGAAUCUGCCCAUCUACCCUGAGAAUCUAGCCAUUCACACAGAGAAUCUGCCCAUCUACCGUGAGAAUCUGUUAAUUCACCUAAAUCCGGCCACCUACCCUGAAAAUGUGACCAUUCACAGAGAAUUAGAUCAUGUACCCCGAUAAUCUGUCUGUUCAUAAAGUCAGUCUGCACAUUUAUCCUGAGAAUCUGUUAAUUCACCCACAGAAUCUGACAAUUUACCCUGAGGAUCUGUCCAUUUACCCUGCAAAUCGAACCAUUCACCCAGAGAAUCUGUCCAUUCACCCAGAGAAUCUGACCAUUUAAAAUACUACCACCAGAUUGAAGUUAAUGAUUACAGAUCAUAUUUGCAGUACAGUGAUAUUUCAGAAUUCUGUGAUUAUUUAAGUCACACAUUGUAACUGGAGAUCUGUGAAACCCUUCUAGAAAGGUCCAAUAUUACUCCAUAUUCACAUUAAUCAAACUGUAAUCUGGCCCUGAGGCUUUUGCCUUUUUCCACUUCUGAGUAAAUACCUAUUUAUUCUGGAAAAUUAAAUUCUCUGCUCAAGAUGUGUGACUCUCAAUGCUUCCUGGGAAUCGCGUCUAUUUUUAAUGUGUUAGCUGUACUGUACCCCGCAUCCCGUCUCCUCGCACCCCGGUCCUGUCAAAGAAGUCGCUCUGAUGCUCUUCCCUCGCUGCACACAUUUGCUAAUAGAUGAUGAUGAACGGUGAGGUCAUCUAAUGUCAAUCCCAUCCCCUCCAGCUGGAUUUACUAUAUCCCUAUAUUAUUAGAUAAAAUAGGUUUCCCUUCUACUUUCACAGUUGGACAGAUUGCCCUUCAGCUGUCAUAACACCUACCCCUCCCUGCUGUGCAUUAGGGCAGUCAUCGACAAAAUACCCCCUUCCAAAUGUAGCCCUCAUUAAAUAGGGUGGGGAAUCUGGUGUUUAUUGAAGGCAGCUGGCGUCAGACAUCCCUCUCCUUCUGACGAUACCAGGGGUACAUAUUCCAACACCUCUCAUUCUACUGACUCAACACCCUCUAUAUUAAUCAGCUAAGCUAAAUAUUGGUCUUGGUUUGGCCUGCACAACAUCCCCGCAAGGCCAGUAAAAUACAAACAUUUAUUAACCAUAUUAUAGCUUGCAUGGAAUCGUCUACAUGUUGGAUGUAAUGAGACGGCAAGCUCCACCGAUAUUCAAACAUUCAGAUUAAACAUUGUCAAUAGAUAAUUUGACAUCUGUUGUGGGACAAACUUAACAUAACGCUUGUCCGGCAGUAACGUGCCAAAGAAUAAAAAUGUAUGCCACAAUGGCCGCAAAGUUGUUUUGUAGCCGAGAAUAGAGAGAGACGAGGAUUGGGAGUUGGGUUUGGUUCCAGAACAGGUGUACUUGGUAUAUACAAAUGCGCUAAAACAACGUACAGCUUUCAUUUGAAAUAGACCAGUCAUGGGUGAAGGGAAAGUCAAAACAGACAUAUUGAUCUACAAUCUAUAGAAGCGGCCAUUUUAGACUGUGAUGAGAUAUCGGUUCUCCUUGAACUGCAGGAGACACUUAUUUCACACGGAAAAUGGGGAAACUGAGAACCAAGUGGGACUUUUCAAAUAUAUAUUACCAUUUCAGGUAAAAAAAUAAAAAGAGGUACUAGACAGAUAGAUCAAACAUUAUAUAUUAAAUACAUAUAAAUAAUAUAUAUCAAAUAUUAUACAAACACUGAAUCAUCCAAAUGUUGGAUCACCGUACAUAUUAGUAGCCAAAAAUCACACAAAAUGAAAAUAUAUAGUCACUAUGGACCUUGAAUCAGCUGGAAGGCAGUUACCACCAUCUCACUUGGCAGUCAUACCAUAUUUUGCCCUGUGCUAAUUGUCUUAAAAUGUAUCACAUUUAAUUCAAAAAGGGAAAUGUGGUCUUAAAAAAAAUCUGGUGAUUACGCCCAUUCGCCACGGCCAUAUGUUUCAAAUGUCCAAUUAACCUCCCAUCUAACAUUACCCUUCGCUCAAUAAAACCAUUUCCUACGCAGCUUGUUGACAUAACGAAGGAAACACUGAGAAAACGAGCUCGACGCUUGCUUAUUAAGAGAUGGAUUCUCCAUUAUGUAUUUAAAGUCAAUUUACUCAAAAAGCCAUCAUAGAUUCCCCCCCCCCCUCACAGAAAAUCUAAAAACUCAUCAAAUCUGCCAGAAAGGAGUGUACUCUGCAGUUCUAGCAGACAGGGAUUUAAACGAUUUAUCUAAAUCUCAGUAAUGGGGUUUGAUGCUUGGGUCUGGCCGAAUUAAUUUAUGAUGAAACGGUGCAUGUUUUCUCAAGUAGUGAGAGCCUGUUUCUAAAUCUACCUUUUUUUUCCCCAUGAAUGAAGUGUUGUUUAGUGUUUUCGAAGGGUGGGUAUCAUACACCAUGGGGUUCGAGAAAUUUUAAAUAAAUGACAUCAUACUGCAAACGUUAACAAAGUGUCUGAAUUUUGGUAUUCAGUUAAAGGAACUAUCACUCUCUUUUUCCCACUUUGUCAAAAUCUCCAUAAAAUUUGAAAUGAAUUUGAUCUAUUCUUAACCCUGAAACAGGAUUCAGCCAAUCACACGAAGUGUAUCGAGUUCCGUAUUACAGUAGCCAUUCUUUCUGACUGUCUGGAACCAUGAAAUAAACAGGACGUUAGAUCGUCUCUAAAAUACAAGAGUUAUUCUCGGGAUAUGGUUAAAAAAAGGGGUAAUUAUCACUUUUUUUUACUUUUAGUUCACAGAUAACAAGUUUCCAUUACAGAAAGUGUACGUCAAGUCAAUAUCGAGUAAAACACGUAACUGUGAAACCAGCAUUUUAUUCUAUGUCUGAUAAGUGCCUUAGGUCACGUUAGUUGCCAUUUCAAUCCACGGCCAUGUUGAGUUGUAUUUCUAUAUUACACCGGCUCGAUGUGUCUGUGGAGUGACAGUUUCCCAAUAGCUAUUGUGAGACACGUUGAUGGUAUCUCGCUGUUUUUUACAGGACCGCUCCUGGUGACCAGAUGCUGCUUUGUAAGAACAGUGCAGGUGUUGUGCCAGUAUCUAUUCGCACACUGUAUUCUGACGGCCAGAGACCUAGAGCGACGUGUCUGCCAAACACGGGCCUCUGCGGACUUUCCUUCGGAGCUGAUGAUUUUGUAUAAAGUAAUAUUUGAAUCCAAAGAAAUGAACGAAUACAAUUCUCCUGCACUUGGCAAUAGUUACAUUCUGCAGGGAAUUCCAAGGAUUUCACCAAACUCAAUUUUUGAUAUUGCCACUAAAGUGGGUGCCCCAAAAAUGAAAUUCCAUGAGGAUUCUGCUUGUGGAACUCAACAGGUCUCAGUUCUGAGACCCCACAACAUUUCACCUGGACAAAGAGGGGCAUUUUAAUUUUAGGGGUGUUAGUGGGGGUGUAGCCAGAGGUGGGGAUGUGACUUACUAAUAAUGUAUACAACUAAAAUGUAUUGAUAAGAAGAACAGUGUAUCUUAUUAUUACUGAUUUUUUAACACAUUUAUUGUAGUUUAAAGACACAUUACUGGGCGUAAUAUUACGGUGGAGAUCAGUUAUACACUCAGACACAUUACUGGGAGCAGGGCCGGACUGGGGAUACAAAGCAGCCCUGGAAAAAAAAAAAAAAUCUAUGCCAGCCCCAUAAGUCAUUGCGCCAUAUAUUGUCACAUGUAAUAGUAAGGCUAUGUCUUGACACCCCAGAUGAUUGAGUUUUUAAUAUAAAAUAUUGGUCCUUUCAGAUAAAAAAUUUAAUUAUACAGUAAGCAUACUCAAAUGCAGACACAGACAAUCUCACUGACACAAGCUGAUUGAUACACAGCCUCAAAGACAAACAAUCUCACUGAUUGGUCAUUGACAUAAAAACACAAGCUCACUCAGUAGCAGGCACACACACACACAUGCAAGCAAGCCCACUCACUAGCAGACGCGCGCACACACACAGCUUAAUGUAGUGGUUCUGGUGUAUAUAGCCUGUCCCUGCAGGCUUUUCAGAGAAAAGGCAGUGUUUACAUUGCUUCCUAGUGAGACACUCACUCGGGCAUUAGAGGUGCUUCCUGUGUCAGUGCGGAUUGGCUGAGAUCAUCAAGCUUGAUGAUCUCAGCCAUAGAGGCAGGGCCAGUCGAGGGGAGACCAGCACAACGUGGGCGAAAAAAAAGGUGUGUAAAAACACUAUUUUUAAAAACACACACACAUACCAUGACAGACACACACCAUGACACAGACAUACCGUGACACAGACAGAAACACACACACCGUGACACAGACAGACACACACCAUUACACAUAGACACACACACCAUGAUAGACACACACACACCGUGACACAGACACACAUUACAUGACAGACACACACAAUCACACAGACACACAUUACAUGACACAGACAGACACACACACACCGUGACACAGACAGACACACAUACACUCACACUGACCCACAUAAUUGCUACCUGUGUACUGGCAGCCGCAGGGGGGAGCUGCCUGUGCAGUCUCUGCUCCCCAGCGCGCAGCUUAAUGAGACUGGGGCCUGAAUAUGAUGUCAUAUUCCGGCACCGUUCUUAUUAAGUAGCGCGCAAGGGCAGGGGAGCAGAGCCAGAACAGUUCCCCCUGCGGCCGCCAGAAGAGCUCCCUCUGCGGCCGCAGGUCAGCCAGCUGUCUGCCCGGCCCCAGGUGCCGACGGCCCACCGGGAAAUUUCCCGGUAUCCAGGUGGGCCAGUCCGGCCCUGACUGGGAGGAUUAUUGCUGUGGAGCUCUGUUAUACACUCAGUCACAUUACUGGGAGUAUUAUUGCUGUGGGGCUCUGUUAUACACUUAGAUACACCAACAAUAUGGAGCUCCUAGAAAAGAGGGACACUAGCAUAGAAAAGAGGGACAGCGGGAUUUGGGCCAGAAUAGAGACUGUUCCUCCUAAAUAGGUGCACUUGGGUAUGAGUUCUACAAGUUCUCAAACACUGCAAAUCUCAAAUCUAAAAAGUGGCACUGUAAACCCCACCAACCCCCCCCCAAAAAAAUCUCAAUCUCAAUGAAAUACUACUGGAUUCAGCAACUGCCGUCUUAAAGUGCCAUUCUCCCCAGCCGUCACAAGUGAUGGUGGAAGGGGAAUAACUUUGUCUAUGACCGUGGGAUCCUACAUAGACCUCAAUGCUGUAUUUUUGCGCAUGCGUGAGAGUACAGCACCGGACCCCCAGCGGUGAUGUCAGUGACAUGUAGAACUCUGUAGGACCUUACCUCUGCCAUAUGUGAUGUAAAACAAGUAACCGUGCUUUCCAGAAAACAGCAGCUCUAAGUGCAAUGUAGCAGUGACUGUGUAGGCCCCAGGGAGAGUGCGCAGCUUAGCGGACAGGGGCACAUGUAUGAGUGUGGGAUGGAUGAUGCAUGAUUGGCUAUGUGUGGGAGUGUGAGAUGUGAGGAAGUGGGUGGUGACAGAUUAGACUGACCUCAGUGCCACUUAGGAGCCGGGCCAGCAACAAGUUUUCCGCCCACCCUCCCUUUGCUGCUUUGGGCCCGGGGGGUUGUCACAGCGAGGCGGGGGUGUGUCCUUGCCAAAUAAGGGAUGGUCUGGUAGAUUAGAUGAAAAGGGGGGAUAAUGGCCUGGUCUCAUCCUCCCCCUGUCUCUUAUGGUGAACCUGGAUGAGGUGCCAGGUUGGACGUGUCCCCACUGGGUUGUAAGUCGACCGGUGGGGAGCAUUAUGGUUGGGCCCCACCCAGCGGAAAAAAACGGCUGGUGGGGAGCACUGAAAAGGAAUAUGUUUUUAUUAUGCCGAGGGGGGG
rnacentral:lncRNA from 1 species